CGAGGGGCAGCAUAUCAAAGCUUGCUUUGAUGAUGGCGACCGGCGCACGGGUGAGUAACACGUAUCCACCUGCCGACAACACUGGGAUAGCCUUUCGAAAGAAAGAUUAAUACCGGAUGGCCCCGCAUGGGUAAAGAAUUUCGGUUGUCGAUGGGGAUGCGUUCCAUUAGGCAGUUGGCGGGGUAACGGCCCACCAAACCUACGAUGGAUAGGGGUUCUGAGAGGAAGGUCCCCCACAUUGGAACUGAGACACGGUCCAAACUCUACGGGAGGCAGCAGUGAGGAAUAUUGGUCAAUGGACGAGAGUCUGAACCAGCCAAGUAGCGUGAAGGAUGACUGCCUAUGGGUUGUAAACUUCUUUUAUACGGGAAUAAGUGAGCCACGUGUGGUUUUUUGUAUGUACCGUAUGAAUAAGGAUCGGCUAACUCCGUGCCAGCAGCCGCGGUAAUACGGAGGAUCCGAGCGUUAUCCGGAUUUAUUGGGUUUAAAGGGAGCGUAGGCGGGUUGUUAAGUCAGUUGUGA
rnacentral:rRNA from 1 species